rnacentral:rRNA from 1 species
GACGAACGCUGGCGGCGUGCUUAACACAUGCAAGUCGAACGGAAAGGCCCUGCUUUUGUGGGGUGCUCGAGUGGCGAACGGGUGAGUAACACGUGAGUAACCUGCCCUUGACUUUGGGAUAACUUCAGGAAACUGGGGCUCAUACCGGAUAGGAGCUCCUGCUGCAUGGGGGGGGUUGGAAAGUUUCGGCGGUGGGGGAUGGACUCGCGGGUUAUCAGCUUGUUGGGGGGGUAGUGGCUUACCAAGGCUUUGACGGGUAGCCGGCCUGAGAGGGUGACCGGCCACAUGAGGACUGAGAGACGGACCAGACGCGUACGGGAGGCAGCAGUGGGGAAUAUUGCACAAUAGGCGGAAGCCUGAUGCAGCAGCGCCGCGUGCGGGAUGACGGCCUUCGGGUUGUAAACCACUUUCGCCUGUGACGAAGCGUGAUUGACGGUAAUGGGUAAAGAAGCACCGGCUAACUACGUG